GCGGCGGGACCUUCCCCUCUGCGCCGGGCACCAUGAUGGUGGGCAGGACCAGCGCCAUCGCCGCGGGUCUUUGCGGGGCCCUUUUCAUCGGUUACUGCAUCUACUUCGACCGCAAGAGACGGAGCGACCCGAAUUUCAAGAACCGGCUGCGGGAGCGAAGGAAGAAGCAGAAGCUUGCCAAAGAGAAAGCAGGGCUUUCCAAGCUGCCUGAUUUGAAAGAUGCUGAAGCAGUUCAGAAGUUUUUCCUUGAGGAGAUUCAGCUUGGGGAGGAACUACUAGCGCAAGGUGAAUAUGAGAAAGGUGUUGAUCACUUGACCAAUGCCAUUGCUGUGUGUGGACAGCCGCAGCAGCUACUACAAGUUCUACAGCAGACUCUACCACCUCCAGUGUUUCAAAUGCUUCUAACUAAGCUCCCUACAAUAAGCCAGAGAUGUGUGUGGCACUCUGAAGAGUCUGUCCAGAUGAAGCUUCUGCUUCUGCAAGCUCACAGCCUGCGGUCCUGAUCCUGUAAUUUACCCUGCAUGGUCCUUUCCUCAUGGCAACCUAAGCAGUCAAGAGCAGGACAUUGGGACACAGGAAGGGAGAAGCUCUUCUCAAGGAAAAGUGGAAGACUGGGAGAUUAAGGUGAAGACAUCUCAAUACCAGGUCUGGAUGGAAAAACGUUCUUCCUAGGAACUGUAGAGUCCCACAUUAGGGGGGCAGAUGCCCAGUGUAAAAUCAACAGAAGAGAUUCAUGCAGGUAGGUGUUUGCAGGAGCAGAACCUGUUAGCCUGAUUCUCCUUCAUAGCUUUCUUAAAUAGAGAAUUUUAAUUUACAUUAGCCUGGAAUGCUUCUACUUCUUAGUCCUUUGAGUGAGAUGAGAUAAGAAUCUACUCAGGCCAGUCCAUAACAUUUGACCACUUACCAAGGAUACUUUUCUCCCCUCCUGUCCUAAGGGAUCUGUAGGUUCCUCCUUUUAGAGGAGUACAAUCCAGCAGUACUUACUGUGGUUAAUGGGUGUCUCUUUUGGCUGGCAGAGCUGGGGUGAGAGAGAUCAUAUGGCCUGCACUUUAGGAGGAAGAAGAGAAAAACCCACAAAACACCUCUUUGACCUGCAAUCAGUUUGGCUUUUUCUGUUAUUUGCAGGAGUCUCUUCCACUUCUUGUAUCUCCUAAAUCCUUGUCAUCCAGGUUUGAGAGCUGGGAAUAUCCUCUCUGGCACCAAGUCAACGAUCUGUUUUUUAGCACCAGCAGCCAUUCAUAUUUUACAUGGUGUUCAUCUCUGUUCCUUUCAAGCAAUAAUUGUAAAUAUCAGCUUUCAUUCCUAGAGUGCCUUUCAUCCCAGGGGCUCCCACAGCACUUUCCAAGCUUAACAAGCUUAUUGUAGAGUACUCCUUUAGAAAGGGUGAAACUUGCUUCCCGUUAAAGCCUGAUUUUGGGAAGGAAACUCACAAAUUAUAAUGUUUUCAAUGCACGAGGGAGCCAUUGCAGCUGUUAUUUACUGUAUAUGUUCCCUUACCAAAAAAGACUACUUCUUGCUCCUCCACCUCCCCAUCUCCCCCAGCUUAAUCCAGCAGUGUUCAGUUACCUGGGGGAGAGGAGUGCAAGUAAUGAGAGAUGAUUGUCCCCUGGGAUUUGAGGAAGUGCUUUUUUUUUUUCUGGAAUCCUGCUGCUGCCCUUAACAGUUUCUUCUGACAACUCCAUUUUCAUCCAGUCUAUUUUCUCUUUAAUGGGGCAAAUGUCCCAGGGCAGAGUUGCAUGUCCUGUGGCUUUAGCUGAAGAGCUCACCAUCUGUGGUUGGGCUGUGUUAAGGAUCAUGUGAGAAACUGGUCCUCUUCAGAAGAAAGCUGGCCUAAUUUAAGUCACAUUCCCGAGCAAUCAAAGCAAAGCCAGUUGCUUUGCACUGAAAUGAAUCAGGACCUUUCAAAUGGUCCUUUAUUUGGCUCAUCUGUGGGAGCAGUAAGUUCAGAAGAGAAGUUUGUUGCUGGUAAUUUCUGAACUGAAUAAUUUCUUUCCUCCUGAAUCUUAUGAUUAGUUUUAGGGCAGCUUGAGUCUGACCAAUGUCAAUUUUUUUUCACUGGUUUCAGGAGGACUCAGUGUGGUGGGAUCUAUCUCAUGAUGCACAGAAUUUUACUCUAUGCUGGCUGUGCAGGAAGAGGUCUGUCCUCUGCUUGGUACAUGUGAGGCACAUGAACUCCAAUUGCUUCUCCAAGGACACGCUGAGAGCCUGUGGUAGAAGGAGGAACAAAGGCCCUAUCUCUGGUUCAGUGCUUCAACCGCACAAAUGUAAUCUAUCAAUAUAGAUAGUUCUGGAUGAAAGAUACAUCACGGUGUAUUUUUGGCUGCUGCCUUCAGAGGUAGUACUAAAUCUCCAGGGGGAAUGCAAGCAGUGAGAUAGGAUUCAAGUUCCAAAAUCACCAUUUUCUUGCUGCCUUUCCUCCUCUCUCACACUGGUUGGGUUCAAAGGGGAGCCUUUUCUUGGGGUUUCUAUGUCAUCUCUUCCCAUCAGCAGAUUUUGGUUCAGAAAUGCAUUUUCAUUCUUUUACAACAAAAUGCUAUUUUUUUCCAACCCUAACUGAAGAGCUGCAAAUUGGCAAAGGAUACAAAAAGAACAAUGAACCAGCAGCUAGUGUUUACAUUGGCCACCUUGUGUAAGUGCUGAUAUUAGCAUUUCUGAAAGGGUUCAUUCAUCACUGAAAAAAGGUUUACCUGUGAAUAAGAGCUUGCUUGGGAGGGCCUGUGUGCCUCCUUUCCUCUAUCAACAAAGCUUAAAACAUCAAGAGAUGGUUUUGCAAUGGAUAUUAAUGCAUGCCUGUUAUUUCAGAAUGAGAAUAAGUCACUGAAAGUGUUCCAUGCCUAUUUCUGAUGGCGUAACGAAAGCAGCAGUAAAUUGAAAGAAAAAUCUUAUUUAUUUUCAUGUGUCUUGUUUGUUUAUUUAAUUAUUUAGAGACCUGAAUAUAUAUAUUAAAAGUGGCUUUCUUGGGCUUUUUUAAAGAAUAAAAUCCUGUGAUUCAACCUUAAGCCUAGGGACUAGUACUCAAGUCACGGAAAAUCGCAUAGACCUGCACUAGAAAGAACAAUGUCUGUUGAAAGCACUGUGCCCUUUCCAGACUGUGAUCUCUUCUGGGGAUGUCAGCAAAAUAAACAUACUUUUAUGAAGU